UGCAAGUCGAGCGGUAGAGAGAAGCUUGCUUCUCUUGAGAGCGGCGGACGGGUGAGUAAUGCCUAGGAAUCUGCCUGGUAGUGGGGGAUAACGUUCGGAAACGGACGCUAAUACCGCAUACGUCCUACGGGAGAAAGCAGGGGACCUUCGGGCCUUGCGCUAUCAGAUGAGCCUAGGUCGGAUUAGCUAGUUGGUGAGGUAAUGGCUCACCAAGGCGACGAUCCGUAACUGGUCUGAGAGGAUGAUCAGUCACACUGGAACUGAGACACGGUCCAGACUCCUACGGGAGGCAGCAGUGGGGAAUAUUGGACAAUGGGCGAAAGCCUGAUCCAGCCAUGCCGCGUGUGUGAAGAAGGUCUUCGGAUUGUAAAGCACUUUAAGUUGGGAGGAAGGGCAGUUACCUAAUACGUGAUUGUUUUGACGUUACCGACAGAAUAAGCACCGGCUAACUCUGUGCCAGCAGCCGCGGUAAUACAGAGGGUGCAAGCGUUAAUCGGAAUUACUGGGCGUAAAGCGCGCGUAGGUGGUUUGUUAAGUUGGAUGUGAAAUCCCCGGGCUCAACCUGGGAACUGCAUUCAAAACUGACUGACUAGAGUAUGGUAGAGGGUGGUGGAAUUUCCUGUGUAGCGGUGAAAUGCGUAGAUAUAGGAAGGAACACCAGUGGCGAAGGCGACCACCUGGACUAAUACUGACACUGAGGUGCGAAAGCGUGGGGAGCAAACAGGAUUA
rnacentral:rRNA from 1 species